rnacentral:rRNA from 1 species
UGAGGAAUUUUGGACAAUGGGCGAAAGCCUGAUCCAGCAAUGCCGCGUGUGUGAAGAAGGCCUUCGGGUUGUAAAGCACUUUUGUCCGGAAAGAAAUCCUUGGCUCUAAUACAGUCGGGGGAUGACGGUACCGGAAGAAUAAGCACCGGCUAACUACGUGCCAGCAGCCGCGGUAAUACGUAGGGUGCAAGCGUUAAUCGGAAUUACUGGGCGUAAAGCGUGCGCAGGCGGUUUGCUAAGACCGAUGUGAAAUCCCCGGGCUCAACCUGGGAACUGCAUUGGUGACUGGCAGGCUAGAGUAUGGCAGAGGGGGGUAGAAUUCCACGUGUAGCAGUGAAAUGCGUAGAGAUGUGGAGGAAUACCGAUGGCGAAGGCAGUCCCCUGGGCCAAUACUGACGCUCAUGCACGAAAAGCGUGGGGGAGCAAAACAGGAUUAGAUACCCCUGGUAGUCCACGCCCUAAAACGAUGUCAACUAGUUGUUGGGGAUUCAUUUCCUUAGUAACGUAGCUAACGCGUGAAGUUGACCGCCUGGGGAGUACGGUCGCAAGAUUAAAACUCAAAGGAAUUGACGGGGU